GAGUUUGAUCGUGGCUCAGGAUGAACGCUGGCGGCGUGCCUAAUACAUGCAAGUCGAGCGAACGGACGAGAAGCUUGCUUCUCUGAUGUUAGCGGCGGACGGGUGAGUAACACGUGGAUAACCUACCUAUAAGACUGGGAUAACUUCGGGAAACCGGAGCUAAUACCGGAUAAUAUUUUGAACCGCAUGGUUCAAAAGUAAAAGACGGUCUUGCUGUCACUUAUAGAUGGAUCCGCGCUGCAUUAGCUAGUUGGUAAGGUAACGGCUUACCAAGGCAACGAUGCAUAGCCGACCUGAGAGGGUGAUCGGCCACACUGGAACUGAGACACGGUCCAGACUCCUACGGGAGGCAGCAGUAGGGAAUCUUCCGCAAUGGGCGAAAGCCUGACGGAGCAACGCCGCGUGAGUGAUGAAGGUCUUCGGAUCGUAAAACUCUGUUAUUAGGGAAGAACAUAUGUGUAAGUAACUGUGCACAUCUUGACGGUACCUAAUCAGAAAGCCACGGCUAACUACGUGCC
rnacentral:rRNA from 1 species